rnacentral:rRNA from 1 species
GACGGAGGGUGCAAGCGUUGUUCGGAAUCACUGGGCGUAAAGCGCGUGUAGGCGGCUGAAUAAGUCGGAUGUGAAAGCCCGGAGCUCAACUCCGGAAGUGCAUUCGAAACUGUUCGGCUCGAGUACGGGAGAGGGAAGUGGAAUUCCUGGUGUAGAGGUGAAAUUCGUAGAUAUCAGGAGGAACACCGGUGGCGAAGGCGGCUUCCUGGACCGAUACUGACGCUGAGACGCGAAAGCGUGGGGAGCAAACAGG